GUGGGGAAUUUUGGACAAUGGGGGCAACCCUGAUCCAGCCAUCCCGCGUGUGCGAUGAAGGCCUUCGGGUUGUAAAGCACUUUUGGCAGGAAAGAAAUCGCACGGGAUAAUACCUCGUGUGGAUGACGGUACCUGCAGAAUAAGCACCGGCUAACUACGUGCCAGCAGCCGCGGUAAUACGUAGGGUGCAAGCGUUAAUCGGAAUUACUGGGCGUAAAGCGUGCGCAGGCGGUUCGGAAAGAAAGAUGUGAAAUCCCAGGGCUUAACCUUGGAACUGCAUUUUUAACUACCGGGCUAGAGUGUGGCAGAGGGGGGUGGAAUUCCGCGUGUAGCAGUGAAAUGCGUAGAUAUGCGGAGGAACACCGAUGGCGAAGGCAGCCCCCUGGGAUAACACUGAUGCUCAUGCACGAAAGCGUGGGGAGCAAACAGGAUUAGAAACCCGAGUAGUCC
rnacentral:rRNA from 1 species